AAAUCACGUUGUGGGCUUUCGUGGGCAAACGUAACUGCCGUACCGACUUAGAAACUCGACAUUGAUUUAAGCAUCCUUUACUCAUAAACGAUGACCAUUUGAUAAAGUGUUUACUAAAAAAGAAUUAGUAGAGCCAAACAGCACACAUAGCAAAUGCGUGUGUCUAAUAAAGAUGAUAGAUAAUUGCUUAGGUGCUUCAGUAAUACGUAUGAAUAUGUGUGUAUUGAAUUACAGAUAUAUACAUAUAAAGAAAUAGAUGAGUGAACAAAACUGCGGCGACGACAUCUCGUAGGCGUAUCAGUAAUGAAAGUAAAAGGUAAAAAUCGUGGAUCACAAAUUAGUUAUGACAUUAAAUCUUGUCUACAUAAAAUCAUACAAAACAAAUAAAUCACGUCAGAAAUAUUAUUCGCAACCUAUCAACUACUGAAAUUACUAUAAAUAUUGAAUUAAAUAUUAAAUUAAUAAACUACAUUGAAAUAAUAUUUGAAUUUUUUUAUAACAAAAACAUCUUUACAAGGAAAGUAACUUUAAUGUUAAAUGUAAAAACUAUUAUGUAUGGAAAAUAUAUUAAAAUUACUGUACCAUUCCAUUAAUCCAUUACCUUUUCAGGGGAAAGAUUUUCUUUUCUUCUCCAAAAAAAUAUAAUAAGCUAAGUUAAGUUUAAUUAUUGUGCGAUUUUGUUAUUCUCAUAUUUGUCUAUCUUGGAUAGAAUAGCAUAAACUUUUCUGUAGAACCGCACAGUGAAAUAAGCUUUUGUAGUGUGGAACCACAGCGAGUAUACCUCGUUUGUGGUGGAACUAAACAGGUUCUUGUAUAUGCUAGCGUGAAACCAAACAAUGCAAAUCACUAACUUUAUCGGUUCUUGUAUAUACUAGCGUGGAACGCCUUCAGCACUUGGCCGCUUGGUGCAGCACUUGUACGGUGAAAUAACUAAAAUAAUGGGCGUGAGCUAUGAUCGUAUACACAAGUCUGGACUCCAAUGGAGGAGUGAGCGACGCUACCGUUCGACCAAUCCGUUUGACGCUAGGUGGUAGACAGUAGUUGGUACAUUGUUGACAUCCGACGAUGGAGAACCUUGUCCUUUGAAACCCUAUCAGUUGUGAUAGUUUCGGGUAUUUCGGAUCGUGAAACCUACCCUUUGAAGAAUUUUUCAGCGUCCGCCCUCACAAAGUCGCCAUUCACCAUUCUUUUUAGAUAUCAUGUGAAAAGGGCUCGCCCAUUGAUUUAAGGACAGUUGGCAAAUCUCCUUCCUGGUCGUAUCCUUGAAUCCUUCUUUCCCGUGUUUUUUUGCGAUUGGUUAUCCUUUAGUGCAAAUGAAAUACUGAUGCCACCUGUUCUGAACACGUGUCUUUGUGAUUUAGUAAUAUCAAUAAAUUUGUGUAACAGUUUGCUGUA